rnacentral:rRNA from 1 species
UACGAAGGGGGCUAGCGUUGCUCGGAAUCACUGGGCGUAAAGCGCACGUAGGCGGAUUGCUAAGUCAGGGGUGAAAUCCUGGAGCUCAACUCCAGAACUGCCUUUGAUACUGGCGAUCUUGAGUCCGGGAGAGGUGAGUGGAACUCCCGAGUGUAGAGGUGAAAUUCGUAGAUAUUCGGAAGAACACCAGUGGCGAAGGCGGCUCACUGGCCCGGUACUGACGCUGAUGUGCGAAAGCGUGGGGAGCAAACAGG